rnacentral:miRNA from 1 species
UAAGUGCGCGCAUGUAUAUGCG